AUGACAAACUCCACAGAAGCACAGAAGCCCCAAAAUACCAAGAAAAAUAAGAAGAAAGGGGCGACUCUGGACACAUUCUAUGGAGCCAAAAUACAAAAUACAGAGCAGAUAGAAGAAGAUAUACAAGAAAAUUCUCCAAAAUCUUCCAAAGGAAAUAGAAACUCUCCACAAACACAUGAAGAAUUUGAAUCAGAAAGGACCAAAAAGAUGGAAGCCCUCUGGGAGGAAAAGUGGGAAAUGAUGCAAAAGAAAUUCACGCAUCUACAAAACCAGUUUGACCAAACUGUAAAAGAAAACCAGGCUUUAAAGCAAGAACUAAUAAAGCAAAGCCAAAACACCAAGAAAUUAGAAGAGAACAUAAAAUAUCUCACCGACAAGGUGAUAGAUCUGGAAAACAGGGGGAGAAGAGAAAAUUUAAGAAUAAUUGGACUCCCAGAAAAGCCAGAAAUAAACACCAAACUGGACAUGGUGAUACAAGAUAUAAUCAAAGAAAAUUGCCCAGAGAUUCUAGAACAAGGGGGCAAUACAGCCACUGACAGAGCUCACAGAACACCUUCUACACUAAACCCCCAAAAGACAACUCCCAGGAAUGUAAUUGCCAAAUUCCAAAGCUAUCAAACAAAAGAAAAAAUCCUACAGGAAGCCAGAAAAAGACAAUUUAGAUAUAAAGGAAUGCCAAUCAGGAACACCUUCUACACUAAACCCCCAAAAGACAACUCCCAGGAAUGUAAUUGCCAAAUUCCAAACCUUUCAAACAAAAGAAAAAAUCCUACAGGAAGCCAGAAAAAUACAAUUUAGAUAUAAAGGAAUGCCAAUCAGGGUCACACAAGACCUUGCAAGUUCUACUCUGAAUGAUCGUAAGGCAUGGAACAUGAUCUUCAGAAAGGCAAGAGAGCUGGGUCUCCAACCAAGAAUCAGCUACCCAGCAAAACUGACUAUAUACUUCCAAGGGAAAAUAUGGGCAUUCAACAAAAUAGAAGACUUCCAACUUUUUGCAAAGAAAAGACCAGAGCUCUGUGGAAAGUUUGAUACCGAAAAUCAAAGAGCAAGGAAUACCUGAAAAGGUAAAUAUUAAGGAAAGGGGAAAAAUGUUAUCUUCUUCUUUUACUCAAACUCUCUUCUAUAAGGACUACAUUUAUAUCAAUCUAUGUAUACUAACAUGUGGGAAAAAUGUAAUGUAUAAAUAGGGGGUAAAGAAAGACCAAAUAGAAUAAUGGUUCUCACACAAAGAUUCACAUGGGAAGGGGAGGGGAAGAAAACUCCUAUAAGAAGGAGAGGAAGAGAGGGGGGGGGGGGUUUACUUAAACCUCAAUCUCAGGGAAAUCAACUCUGAGAGGGAAAAACAUCCAGAUCCAUUGGGAUCUUGAAUUCUAUCUUACCCAACAAGGGUAAGGAGAAGGGAAAACCAAG
rnacentral:lncRNA from 1 species